GAUGAACGCUGGCAGAAUGCUUAACACAUGCAAGUCGGUGGCGGCCGGGUGAGUAACGCGUACAGAACUUGCCUCACAGGUAGGGACGACAUUUGGACACGAAUGCUAAUCCCUAAUACUGUGAGAGAGCUUUGCGUCCCAUUAGCUAGUUGGAGAGGUAACGGCUCACACAGGCGAGGAUGGGUAGCCGGCCUGAGAGGGUGAUCGGCCACAAGAGGACUGAGACACGGCCCUUACUCCUACGGGAGGCAGAAGGGGGGAAGAGUGGACAAUGGACAAGAGUCUGACGGAGCAACGCCGCGUGAGUGAUGACGGCCUUCGGGUUGUAAAGCUCUGUUAAGCGGGACGCGGUACCGGAAUAGAAAGCCACGGCUAACUACGUGCCAGCCGCCGCGGUAAUUC
rnacentral:rRNA from 1 species